UUUAAUAUGGCAGAUAAGUGCAAUGAAUUUAAAUUUCAUUUAUAAAAAAAUUUUUUUUAUUAAAA
rnacentral:tRNA from 1 species